rnacentral:ncRNA from 1 species
GGAGGUCGGCCCUCCAGAGUCGAUGGUCGGAAGUUGGCUCUAAACCACCUUCAGGUGGCUGUCAUUAAGAGUGAUGGUCAGAAGCGUUGAAGGGAAAUCAGAAUAAGAUUCUGGC